rnacentral:lncRNA from 1 species
CAGGAGGGCAGCUUGACCAAUCUCUAUUUCCAAGACCUUUGGCCAGUCCUAUUGAUCUGGACUCCUGGAUAGGCAGCUGGACCAACGGACGGAUGCCAUGAGGGCUCUGCUGCUCCUGGGGUUCCUGCUGGUGAGCUUGGAGUCAACACUUUCGAUUCCACCUUGGGAAGCCCCCAAGGAGCAUAAGUACAAAGCUGAAGAGCACACAGUCGACACUAAAUUACCUACAUGCCAGGCAUGGUGGCUCAUGCCUGUAAUCCCAGCACUUUGGGAGGCCAAGGUCGGUGGAUCAUGAGGUCAGGAG